rnacentral:rRNA from 1 species
CAGAGUUCAUGCCCGAAAGGGUAGACCUCCCACCCUUGUGUAUUAUUACUUUGUUGCUUUGGCGAGCUGCCUUCGGGCCUUGUAUGCUCGCCAGAGAUUACCAAAACUCUUUUUAUUAAUGUCGUCUGAGUACUAUAUAAUAGUUA